rnacentral:tRNA from 1 species
UUACAAGUAGUUUAAUUAAAAAAUGUUGAUUUGUGGAGUCAAAGAUUUAAGAAAUUAAUUUGUAGA